CCUACGGGUGGCAGCAGUGAGGAAUAUUGGUCAAUGGGCGCUAGCCUGAACCAGCCAAGUAGCGUGAAGGAUGACUGCCCUAUGGGUUGUAAACCUCUUUUAUAUGGGAAUAAAGUGCAGUAUGUAUACUGCUUUGCAUGUACCUUAUGAAUACGGCUCGGCCAACUCCGGGCCAGCAGCCGCGGUAAUACGGAGGAUCCGAGCGUUAUCCGGAGUUAUUGGGUUUAAAGGGAGCGUAGGCGGGUUGUUAAGUCAGGUGUGAAAGUUUGCGGCUCAACCGUAAAAUUGCAGUUGAGACUGGGAUCCGUGAGUACGGUAGAGGUAGGGGGAAUUCGUGGUGUAGGGGUGAAAUGCUUAGAUAUCAAGAAGAACACCGAUUGCGAAGGCAGCCUGCUGGACUGUAACUGACGCUGAUGCUCGAAAGUGUGGGGAUCAAACAGGAUUAGAUACCCUUGUAGUC
rnacentral:rRNA from 1 species